ensembl:lincRNA Gm42952 predicted gene 42952
UCUGACCCAUAUCUGCAUUUUAUUGAAAUGAAUUUGGCUACUAAAGACUCCGUGAUUUCAGACUGAGGUCCGCCUCCAAGGGUCUGAUCUGUGUCAGCUAAAACCAGAGCUGGUGGUGACCAACUACAUCGAUGAACUCGCUCCCUCUUUCCCUCUCUUUCUCCAUCCUUCGGAGAUCUAAUGGCACAGUUCCAGCUGUGAGACGUGGCACCCUUGAGCUUCCUUGUUACAAGCUUGGAGAGAUAGCAUCAGGGUGCCAAGCAGGAUCCUGGGAUGACAUCUUAGAUAUUCCUUCACCAAAACUCUUCCCGGGCCCUGAUGGGCUCUGUCUCAUCAGAUGCCAUGUAGAAAAGGAAAGCCCAGCAGCUACAGGACCAAAAGCUGAGUCAUUCUCCAAGACAGAGCAAGUGAAGAAUGCUCCUGCCUGUGGAUGGGACCACACCCCUCUGCUCAUGUCAGCAAGCCCAUAGCUGCAGGACUGCUGGUAACCAUGGGAUGUUCAGAAGCCAUUUGCAACUGAGUCAGAGAGGGAGGGAAUGGAGACUCAUGCUUAUGAGCAGCUUGUGUCAUGCAGGGGGUUGUCAUGUUCCCAGUAAACACACAACAAGGAAACUAUACCCUAAAGGCAUACUCUUUCCUUGCCAAAAAGC